rnacentral:rRNA from 1 species
GGAGUCUGGUCCGUGUCUCAGUACCAGUGUGGGGGAUAAGCCUCUCAGCUCCCCUAGGCAUCGUAGGCUUGGUGGGCCGUUGCCCCGCCAACUACCUAAUGCCACGCAUGCCCAUCCCGCACCACCGAAGCUUUAGUCCCCAGACCAUGCGGCCCGAGAACACCAUGGGAUAUUAGUGGAAGUUUCCCUCCGUUAUCCCCCUGUGCGGGGCAGGUUGCAUACGCGUUACGCACCCGUGCGCCGGUCGCCAUCAUAAAUAGCAAGCUAUCUAUAUGCUGCCCCUCGACUUGCAUGUGUUAAGCCUGUAGCUAGCGUUCAUC